ACCGCGCAGUCCGGACCCCCCGAGCGCUAGCGCUCUGUCACUGCGGGCGAGUCACGUCGCCUCUCAGAACCUCGGGGUCCCCUUCUGCUGAGAGCAGGUGACGGGAGGGAGCUCGCAGCGUCGUGAAACGUCCUCAAGGAGACGAGAUGAAGAAACUAAGUCAGAAAGGCUAAAUGACUUCCCCAGUUGAGACAAUUAGUGGAAAAGAAGAAUCAGCCCUCAAGGACAAGAUGGUCACAUUAGGGAGACACCAACACCAAAAGUUAAAUAACAAUAAAGCGUUAAUUAUUCAAGGC